AUUGAACGCUGGCGGCAUGCCUUACACAUGCAAGUCGAACGGCAGCGCGGGGCAACCUGGCGGCGAGUGGCGAACGGGUGAGUAAUAUAUCGGAACGUGCCCUGGAGUGGGGGAUAACGUAGCGAAAGUUACGCUAAUACCGCAUACGAUCCAAGGAUGAAAGCAGGGGACCUUCGGGCCUUGUGCUCCUGGAGCGGCCGAUAUCUGAUUAGCUAGUUGGUGGGGUAAAAGCCUACCAAGGCGACGAUCAGUAGCUGGUCUGAGAGGACGACCAGCCACACUGGAACUGAGACACGGUCCAGACUCCUACGGGAGGCAGCAGUGGGGAAUUUUGGACAAUGGGGGCAACCCUGAUCCAGCAAUGCCGCGUGUGUGAAGAAGGCCUUCGGGUUGUAAGCACUUUGUUCAGGAACGAAACGG
rnacentral:rRNA from 1 species